AUUGAACGCUGGCGGCAUGCCUUACACAUGCAAGUCGAACGGCAGCGGACCUUCGGGUGCCGGCGAGUGGCGAACGGGUGAGUAAUAUAUCGGAACGUACCUUUCAGUGGGGGAUAACGUAGCGAAAGUUACGCUAAUACCGCAUAUUCUGUGAGCAGGAAAGCAGGGGAUCGCAAGACCUUGCGCUGAUUGAGCGGCCGAUAUCAGAUUAGCUAGUUGGUGAGGUAAAGGCUCACCAAGGCGACGAUCUGUAGCGGGUCUGAGAGGAUGAUCCGCCACACUGGUACUGAGACACGGACCAGACUCCUACGGGAGGCAGCAGUGAGGAAUAUUGGACAAUGGGCGAGAGCCUGAUCCAGCCAUGCCGCGUGCAGGAAGACGGUCCUAUGGAUUGUAAACUGCUUUUAUACAGGAAGAAACACUCCCUCGUGAGGGAAUUUGACGGUACUGUA
rnacentral:rRNA from 1 species